AGAGUUUGAUCCUGGCUCAGGAUGAACGCUGGCGGCGUGCUUAACACAUGCAAGUCGAACGAUCCUUCGGGAUAGUGGCGGACGGGUGAGUAACGCGUGGGAAUCUGCCCUCAGGAGGGGGAUAACGGCUGGAAACGGCCGCUAAUACCCCAUAUGCCGAGAGGUGAAAUGAAUUUCGCCUGAGGAUGAGCCCGCGUCUGAUUAGCUAGUUGGUGGGGUAAAGGCCUACCAAGGCAACGAUCAGUAGCUGGUCUGAGAGGAUGAUCAGCCACACUGGGACUGAGACACGGCCCAGACUCCUACGGGAGGCAGCAGUGGGGAAUUUUCCGCAAUGGGCGAAAGCCUGACGGAGCAACGCCGCGUGAGGGAUGAAGGCCUCUGGGCUGUAAACCUCUUUUCUCAAGGAAGAAGACCUGACGGUACUUGAGGAAUAAGCCACGGCUAAUUCCGUGCCAGCAGCCGCGGUAAUACGGGAGUGGCAAGCGUUAUCCGGAAUUAUUGGGCGUAAAGCGUCCGCAGGCGGCCUUGUAAGUCUGUUGUUAAAGCGUGGAGCUCAACUCCAUUUAAGCAAUGGAAACUACAAGGCUUGAGUGUGGUAGGGGCAGUGGGAAUUCCCGGUGUAGCGGUGAAAUGCGUAGAUAUCGGGAAGAACACCAGUGGCGAAGGCGCUCUGCUGGGCCAUAACUGACGCUCAUGGACGAAAGCCAGGGGAGCGAAAGGGAUUAGAUACCCCUGUAGUCCUGGCCGUAAACGAUGAACACUAGGUGUCGGGGGAAUCGACCCCCUCGGUGUCGUAGCCAACGCGUUAAGUGUUCCGCCUGGGGAGUACGCACGCAAGUGUGAAACUCAAAGGAAUUGACGAGGGCCCGCACAAGCGGUGGAGUAUGUGGUUUAAUUCGAUGCAACGCGAAGAACCUUACCAGGGUUUGACAUCCUGCGAACCCCUGAGAAAUCGGGGGGUGCCUUCGGGAGCGCAGAGACAGGUGGUGCAUGGCUGUCGUCAGCUCGUGUCGUGAGAUGUUGGGUUAAGUCCCGCAACGAGCGCAACCCACGUCUUUAGUUGCCAGCAUUCAGUUGGGCACUCUAGAGAGACCGCCGGUGAUAAACCGGAGGAAGGUGUGGAUGACGUCAAGUCAUCAUGCCCCUUACAUCCUGGGCUACACACGUACUACAAUGCUACGGACAAAGGGCAGCAAGCUCGCGAGAGUUAGCAAAUCCCAUAAACCGUGGCUCAGUUCAGAUCGUAGGCUGCAACUCGCCUACGUGAAGGAGGAAUCGCUAGUAAUCGCAGGUCAGCAUACUGCGGUGAAUACGUUCCCGGGCCUUGUACACACCGCCCGUCACACCAUGGAAGUUGGCCAUGCCCGAAGUCGUUACUCCAACCCUUGUGGAGGAGGACGCCGAAGGUGGGGCUGAUGACUGGGGUGAAGUCGAAACAAGGUA
rnacentral:rRNA from 1 species